rnacentral:rRNA from 1 species
UACAGAGGAUGCAAGCGUUAUCCGGAAUGAUUGGGCGUAAAGCGUCUGUAGGUGGCUUUUUAAGUCCGCCGUCAAAUCCCAGGGCUCAACUCUGGACAGGCGGUGGAAACUACCAAGCUGGAGUACGGUAGGGGCAGAGGGAAUUUCCGGUGGAGCGGUGAAAUGCGUAGAUAUCUGGAGGAACACCGGUGGCGAAGGCGGCAUCCUGGACCAAUAUUGACGCUGAGGAGCGAAAGCCAGGGGAGCAAACGGG